CAUCCUCGAUCUGCUGGGGGCAGAUGAAAUGGAUAUGGCUGUCGAAACCGCCCGCGGUCAGGAUCCGCCCCUCGCCCGCGAUCGCCUCGGUGCCGGGGCCGAUGAUGAUAUCCACCCCUGUUUGCGUGUCGGGAUUGCCCGCCUUGCCAAUGGCCGCGAUCACCCCGUCGCGCAGGCCCACAUCGGCCUUGUAGAUCCCCGUAUGGUCCACGAUCAGCGCGUUGGUGAUGACGGUAUCCACCGCGCCUUCUGCGCGGGUGGCCUGGGACUGCCCCAUGCCGUCGCGGAUG
rnacentral:sRNA from 1 species